CACUACAUCAAAAACUAAUGGCGUGCUGUAUGGUGACUAACAUAACACAAUAAAAAAAAAGUAUGUCUCUUAGCCUACUGACCAUUCAAGCAAAUCCUUGAAGUUGGAAGAAGAAAAGAGAAAGUGCAAUGAUCUUUUGCAGAAUGGAGCUGUUCACAGGACUUCAUACCUGGCUAUGAAGAAUGAGGCUCAAGGAAGGACUUCUGUACUAAAAAACCCAGUUCUUGGCAUGGUGGGGGGGGGGGGUUCCUCACUGUGUUUUCAGCUGUAAAGACCAUCUUCCAGCGCACAGUGUUAAGAACCGGGGGGGAAAAAUCCAGGUUUUAUAUGUAUUUUGAAAACAAUCAAUUCAUCUCCCAGAGAUAGGAAUUAUUACCCCCAUUUUACAGCUGAGGAAAUCAAGGCAUUGAGAAGGAAGUCCUUUGCCCAAGAUCAUUCAGCUAGUGACAGACGGAGCGGGAAUCAGAGGCCUGAUCGUGUGAAAUCAAAUCGACGUACUUGAUCUCUGUGUCCUGAUGUCUGUCCCGAUGUUCUCUCUUCCUGUGCCCAUACCCACCUCCCAGAGAUUUAGUGGGUGUUCAUUGCUUGUGACAGGAGUGAACUCUUCCAGACGGGGCUGGAAUCUCCAGUGUAUUUAAUGUGUGUUGUGUUUUACUGACUGGAUCGCAGACCUCUUGAAAGUAUUGCCUCCUGUUUUUGUCCCCCUCUCCCACACUCCAAUAUAUUUUCUUUUGCUUCAUUUUUUCCUGUAUAUUUUAACAUGGAAUACAUGCCUUCACCUAAUCAAUUGUUUGGUCACGUGACUACACAUGCAUUGAGGUGUUCUUUUUCGUCAGUGGCUGUUGGGGUUGCCGUGCCUUUGUUCGUUUGAAGGCUGCUGCUGAGCCAGUCAGCUUAUAUGCACAAGACUGUUGCCAGGAACCACCGGAAGAUUCAGAUUCAGGGGCUUCUGCUCAAACGCAGGGGACCAGAGAUCGUCAGUGAUUGCUGGAAUGUUGAUGGGUGACUUGAAUGUUUUCUGCAAAUCGUCAGAAGGGCCCUGGGACGGAGAGGCUGAAUUCAUUCCUGGCCCCGAGUCCUGCAUUCCUCAGCACAGACCUGAGGAAUGUGCUCCCAGGUGGUGUUGGGGACAGUUUGGAGCUUGGAUGGUCUUGAGAGGGGCUUGGAAAACCCUUUACCUCACCUUACAUCUCCGGGGAGGAUUUGUUACCAACCUCUACUGCCCUUGUGCUCCGCCACUGAUGAUUUAUUCGGGCAAGAGAAAAGGAGAAGGAAGGGGACCCACCGCGUAGGUGACUGGCCUCCCGUGUAAGGUCUGUGGCGGUUCUCCGAUUGAGCCGAUCUUCCCGACCCCUCUGCGCUCACACCUGUCCUGCUGACCACUAGGACGCUCCCAAGCCUUGGACCAAAUACACCACACACUCGGGAACGCCAGCGGCCGAGGCUGGAUGGGCGCACAGUUUUAGUGCAUCGAGUUUGAAGAGUUUGGAGAAUGAACUUUGGAGCCAGUCCAGCCUGGAUUCAAAUCUCAGUGACGUUCCCCCUGAGCCGACAGCCUGAGAAUGUUCCGAAACCUCUGGAUCCCUUGGUUCCUCGUGGAUAAAAUAAGGCUCAUAAGCUUGUUGUGAACAUGAGGUCAGAAAAUGCUUUAGAAUUGUACCCGGACUCAGAGGGAGCCCGAGAGAAAUGAUGUUGAUCCUUUCUCUGUCCUCCUCAUCUUUCCCCUUCCUCUUUUUCAAUAAGACUCUGACCAAUGAUCAACGUGGGACCAAGAUCUGCCCGCCUUUCUCUGCAGCCACGUGGUCCUUUGGAAAGUUCCUCAGGAGGGAGAGGAAAAGAGCAAAGAUGAAAAAGAAAAGCCCCAAAGAGAAACAAAUUCUGCUUGUGUCCUUAUCAUCUUCGUCCCUUCUGUGGCUUCUCAUUUUUCGCUCUCAGGAUAAAGAGCAUGAAGUUUUUAGCCACUGCCUUCAGGGCCCCGUGUGGUCUCGUCCCUCCCACAAUGCCAGCCUUUUUUUUUUUUUUUUUGUCACCAAGCUCUGCCACUGUUUAUGUCUGUGGCUGCACGACCAAUUCUCACCAGCUCUGCCGCUUUAAGUCCACACUCAUUUCUGAUCUCACAGUUUGGGAGGUCCACCUUCAGGUACGGCGUGCCCGGCUUCUCUGUUCAGGGUCGCACAAGGCAGAGUCAUCUUGUUGGCUAGACUGAGACCUUGCCUGAAGGCUCGGAGGGAAAAUCCACUCUCGAAGUUCAGUGGGUUGUGUUGUGUGUUUCUUCUUCCCCUCCCCCAAAUUCAGAAUCAUAGAAUGUGACCCAAUACCGCAAAUUAGACCCAAGCCCAAACCCAGUUACUCAGAAUGUGACCUUAUUUGAACAUAGGGUCCUUACAGAUGUGAUUGAGUUUUAAAAAAAAAAAAGGUCAUAAGGUGAAUCUUAAUCUUAUAGGCCUGGUGUCCUUUGUAAAAGGAAGAAAUGUUCUCACAGAGAGAGACAUGUUAGAGGGAGGAAGGUGUGGAGACACAGGGAGGAGACGAAGGCCAUUGAUGAGCCAAGAAUAGAGAACUAGAGCAGAACUGUCCUUCACAGCCUCCAGAAGGAGCCAAUCCAGAAGGGCAGUGCCUGCCCAUGCCAUAAUCUUGUAUUUCCUGUCUUCUGAAAUGGGCAAUGUUCAAUGUCUAUGUUAUGGCGGCCCUAGGAAAUUAACUGUGGGCAGUUGUGGGUUUCUUACAUGUGUAGGACUGAGCCCCCAUUUCCUGGCUGGCUGCCAGCCAGGUCUGAUCUCAUCUCCAUGAGGUCAUCCAUAUCCCUUGUUACGUAACCCCCCUCCAACUUCAAGACAGAAAUGGUGCAUGGAAUCCUGCUCAUGAUUUGAAUCUCUGACUGCCUCUGUCUCUGACUUCUAGGCUCAUUGAUUAGAUCAGAUCUGCUUAGAUAGUCUUUCUUUCUAAAAGCUAACUGUAUUAUAUAAUAUAACCUAAUCAUGGGAACAAAAUCCACCAUAUUCACAGUCUGAGGCAUUAUGCAGGGUGUGUAUACAACGCAGAGAUGACGACCGUGGGGCCUUUUAGGAUUCUGCCAACUGGGGCCCAAGUUCUGGAAUUUGCCCUCUUCUUUCUCCCACAGCAUCUUGUGCCUGCUGUUCCUGCUCUAGGAUACUCUUCCUUGCACGCCAUCCUCCCAUGACUGACCUUAAAUUCAUAAUUCAGAUCACACUAUGUUUGCUUGUUUGUGUGGAUACAUAACAUUUUCUU